rnacentral:rRNA from 1 species
UACGUAGGGUGCAAGCGUUAAUCGGAAUUACUGGGCGUAAAGCGUGCGCAGGCGGCUAUUUAAGCUUGCUGUGAAAGCCCCGGGCUUAACCUGGGAAUGGCAGUGAGGACUGGAUGGCUAGAGUGUGGCAGAGGGGGGUGGAAUUCCACGUGUAGCAGUGAAAUGCGUAGAGAUGUGGAGGAACACCGAUGGCGAAGGCAGCCCCCUGGGCUAACACUGACGCUCAGGCACGAAAGCGUGGGGAG